rnacentral:rRNA from 1 species
AUGGCGAGCCGCCGCGGAGCGCCUCCGCUGCCCCUCCGGCUCCGGCGGCUCCUACGGUCGCCGAUCCCUCGCUGCGCUUGCUUCAUAGUCGCAUUGACGGUGCUCCUUGUCGUCCUCUCACUUCGCCAGAUCGCCCGCGUCGACCUGCCCCGCCCGGACCUGCCCCACCAGGUGCCGAAUGAGCAGCUGUGGGGUUCUAAUGCCUACGGUUAUCAUGCUUGUGUCACACCAACCCACAGAUAUAUUGCUCCAAUAGAGUCGGACCACUAUAUGACUGUUAGAAGUAAUGGAGGACUCAACCAAAUGCGAACUGGAAUCUGUGAUAUGAUUGCAGUAGCCCGCUUGGUGAAUGCAACACUUGUUAUUCCUCAGUUAGACAAGCGAUCUUUUUGGCAAGAUACCAGUACGUUUAAAGACAUCUUCAAUGAGCCUGGUUUUAUUAAAGCUCUGGAAGGUGAUGUCCAUAUCGUUAGUGACUUGCCUGAAAGUUUGCAAUCUGCUCCAAGAGCUCGGAAGCACUUUACUUCAUGGUCUGGUGCGAGCUAUUACGAGGAUGUGAAAGAACUUUGGAAGGAUCACAAGGUAGUUCACAUCCCAAAAUCUGAUUCACGGCUUGCAAACAACGGUCUUCCGGUUGAUAUCCAGAGACUAAGAUGCCGCUGUCUUUACCAAGCAUUGCGUUUCUCAGAUCCAAUCGAGGACCUUGGAAAGAAGCUUGUGGAGCGUCUAAAAUCACGUGGAAAGUUUAUUGCUCUUCAUCUACGAUAUGAAAAAGAUAUGCUAGCAUUCACGGGCUGCACUUAUGGUCUGAGUAAAUCCGAAGCGGACGAAUUGAGAAUCAUGAGAGAGAAAACAAGCCAUUGGAAACUGAAGGACAUAAACUCAACUGAACAGAGAUCUGGAGGUAAUUGUCCAUUGACUCCACACGAGGUGGGGAUGUUUCUACGUGCGAUGGGAUAUACCAAGUCCACUUGGAUCUACAUUGCAGCUGGUGAAAUUUAUGGUGGUGAUAAGUAUAUAUCAAAAUUGAGAUCGUAUUUUCCAAACUUGGUUAGCAAGGAAGUGCUGGCAACAAAAGAAGAGCUUCAGAAGUUUAAGAAUCAUGCUUCUCAAGUUGCAGCACUUGACUACAUUAUUUCAGUGGAAAGUGAUGUGUUUAUUCCAUCACACUCCGGCAAUAUGGCAAGAGCUGUUGAGGGCCAUCGUAGAUUUCUGGGUCAUCGCAAGACUUUGACUCCUGAUAGGAGAGGAUUAGUGGAACUCUUUGGCUUGCUUGAAAAAGGAGAACUUAUGGAAGGUCCUAAGCUGUCCUCACUUGUUACUAAAAUGCAUAAAUACAGGCAAGGCGCCCCAAGGAAGAGAUAUGCGUCCUUGCCUGGGAGCAAGGGCAGAGCACGUCUUAGGACAGAGGAAUCCUUUUACGAAAACCCAUUCCCAGAGUGCAUCUGCCUGACUGGGAAGCAUUGA